rnacentral:rRNA from 1 species
AGAGUUCGAUCCUGGCUCAGGAUGAACGCUGGCGGCAUGUUUAAGGCAUGCAAGUCGAACGAUCCCUUCGGGGAUAGUGGCAAACGGGUGAGUAACACAUUGGCAACCUGCCUCCGACUGGGGGAUAGCUCCGGGAAACCGGAAUUAAUACCGCAUAAAUUCUACUGUCUUAUGUCAGUAGAGGAAAGCUCCGGCGGUUGGAGAGGGGCCUAUGGCUUAUCAGCUUGUUGGUGGGGUAAUGGCCCACCAAGGCUAUGACGAGUAGCGGGUGUGAGAGCACGACCCGCCUCACUGGGACUGAGACACUGCCCAGACUCCUACGGGAGGCUGCAGUCGAGAAUCUUCCUCAAUGGACGAAAGUCUGAAGGAGCAAUGCCGCGUGAUUGAUGAAGUCCUUAGGGAUGUAAAGAUCUUUUUUCAACGAAGAACUAAUGACGGUAGUUGAAGAAUAAGGGGUUGCUAACUCUGUGCCAGCAGCAGCGGUAAUACAGAGACCCCGAGCGUUAUCCGGAUUUAUUGGGCGUAAAGCGUACGCAGACGGUUUGCUAAGUCUGUGGUUAAAUCUUUGGGCUUAACUCAAAGACUGCCAUGGAAACUGACAAACUAGAGGGUGGAAGAGGCCAACGGAAUUGCCAGUGUAACGGUUAAAUGUGUUAAUAUUGGCAAGAACACCAGAUGCGAAGGCGGUUGGCUGGUACACUCCUGACGUUCAGGUACGAAAGCGUGGGUAGCGAAUGGGAUUAGAUACCCCAGUAGUCCACGCCGUAAACGAUGGAUACUAGUCAUUGGCAGUAUCGACCCUGCCAGUGGCGGUUAAAAUAGCUAACGCAUUAAGUAUCCCGCCUGGGAAGUACGGCCGCAAGGCUAAAACUCAAAGGAAUUGACGGGGGCCCGCACAAGCGGUGGAUCAUGUGGUUUAAUUCGACGCUAAGCGGAAAACCUUACCAAGGUUUGAAAUGUAGCUGCAAGCUUCGGGAAACCGAAGCCGCCUUCGAGGGUGCUACACAGGUGCUGCAUGGUUGUCGUCAGCUCGUGUCGUGAGAUGUCGGGUUAAGUCCUUUAACGAGCGCAACCCUCAUUCUAUGUUAUAUAUCCAUAGAAAACUGCCCUGCUCAACGGGGAGGAAGGUGGGGAUGACGUCAAAUCAGCAUGGCUCUUACACCUUGGGCAACACACGUGAUACAAUGGCCGGUACAAAAGGCCGCUAAGUGGCAACACGGAGCAAAUCCUUUAAAACCGGUCCCAGUUCGGAUUGGGGUCUGAAAUUCGACCCCAUGAAGUUGGAAUCGCUAGUAACCGUGAAUCAGCACGUCACGGUGAAUACGUUCCCGGGCCUUGUACACACCGCCCGUCAUACCAAGGGAGCUGAUAAUACCCGAAGGCUGCACUAGUUGCGGACGAAGGUAGGAUCAGUGACAGGGGU